rnacentral:rRNA from 1 species
UAGCCGUAAACGAUACUCGCUAGGUGUCGGCCACGGUGCGACCGUUGUCGGUGCCGUAGGGAAGCCGUGAAGCGAGCCACCUGGGAAGUACGGCCGCAAGGCUGAAACUUAAAGGAAUUGGCGGGGGAGCACAACAACGGGUGGAGCUUGCGGUUUAAUUGGAUUUCAACGCCGGAAAUCUUACCGGGACCGACAGCAACAUGAAGGCCAAGCUGAAGACUUUGCCGGAUUAGCUGAGAGGAGGUGCAUGGCGUAGACGUCU